rnacentral:rRNA from 1 species
GUGGCGCACGGGUGCGUAACGCGUAUGCAACCUACCCAUGACAGGGGGAUAGCCCAGGGAAACUUGGAUUAAUACCGCAUGAAGCCGAUGGUCCCGCCUGGGGCUUUCGGCCAAGGGAGCGAUCCGGUCAUGGAUGGGCAUGCGUCCCAUUAGCUGGUUGGCGGGGUAACGGCCCACCAAGGCGAUGAUGGGUAGGGGUUCUGAGAGGAAGGUCCCCCACACUGGCACUGAGAUACGGGCCAGACUCCUACGGGAGGCAGCAGUAGGGAAUAUUGGUCAAUGGGCGGGAGCCUGAACCAGCCAUGCCGCGUGCAGGAUGAAGGCCCUCGGGUCGUAAACUGCUUUUGCACGGGAAGAACCCAUCCAUGCGUGGAUGUCUGACGGUACCGUGAGAAUAAGCACCGGCUAACUCCGUGCCAGCAGCCGCGGUAAUACGGAGGGUGCGAGCGUUGUCCGGAAUUAUUGGGUUUAAAGGGUGCGUAGGUGGCCAGAUAAGUCAGUGGUGAAAUCCGUGGGCUCAACCCCCGGCGUGCCAUUGAUACUGUCUGGCUUGAGUACCGUAGGGGUAGGCGGAAUUUGUGGUGUAGCGGUGAAAUGCAUAGAUACCACAAGG